rnacentral:misc_RNA from 1 species
UACGAGGGGGGCAAGCGUUGUUCGGAUUUACUGGGCGUAAAGGGCGCGCAGGCGGAUUAUUAAGUCGACUGUGAAAUCUGAGGGCUCAACCUUCAGCCUGCAGUCGAAACUAAUAGUCUUGAGUAUGGAAGAGGAGAGCGGAAUCAGUAGUGUAGCGGUGAAAUGCGUAGAUAUUACUGAGAACACCGGUGGCGAAGGCGGCUCUCUGGUCUAAUACUGACGCUGAGGCGCGAAAGCUAGGGGAGCGAACGGG